GACGAACUGUUCGAACGUUAUUCGGAAUCACUGGGCUUAAAGGGCAUGUAGGCGGCGUGAUAAGCGGGGUCUGAAAUCCCACGGCUCAACCGUGGAACUGGGCUUCGAACUGUCGCGCUAGAGUGAAGUAGGGGCAAGCGGAACUUGCGGUGGAGCGGUGAAAUGCAUUGAUAUCGCAAGGAACACCGGUGGCGAAAGCGGCUUGCUUGGCUUCAACUGACGCUCAAAUGCGAAAGCCAGGGUAGCGAAC
rnacentral:rRNA from 1 species